rnacentral:lncRNA from 1 species
CAUGCCGUCAAUUAAGAUGCUGAGUUUUGAUGCGGAGAUAUUUGAUGUGGAAAUUGCCAAACAAUCUGUGACUAUCAAGACCAUGUUGGAAGAUAUGAGAAUGGAUGAUGGAGAUAACGACCCAGCUCCUCUACCAAAGUUAAUGCAGCAAUAUUUUUAAAAGGUCAUUUGGUGGUGUACCCACCACAAAAAUGGCCGUCCUCCUCCCGAGGAUGAUGCGAACAAAGAAAACGAACAGAGGAGAUCCCUCCUUAGGACCAACAAUUCCUGAAAGUCGAUCAAGGAAUACUUUUUGUACUACUUCUGCCUGCAAACUACUUAGACAUCAAAGGUUUGCUUGAUGUUACACACAAGACUGUUGCCAAUACAAUCAAGGAGAAAAGUCCUGAGAAGAUUCGCAAGACUUCCAAUAUCAAAAAUGACUUUACUGAAGAAGAGGAAACCCAGGUAUGCCAAGCGAACCAGCGGUGUGAACAGAAGU